AGAACGAACGCUGGCGGCGCGCCUAAUACAUGCAAGUCGAGCGAGAAGACGUAGCAAUACGUUUGUAAAGCGGCGAACGGGUGAGGAAUACAUGGGUAACCUACCCUCGAGUGGGGAAUAACUAGCCGAAAGGUUAGCUAAUACCGCGUACGCUCCUUGGACUUCGGUUCAGGGAGGAAAGCGAUACCGUGGGUAUCGCGCUCUUGGAUGGGCUCAUGUCCUAUCAGCUUGUUGGUGAGGUAACGGCUCACCAAGGCUUCGACGGGUAGCUGGUCUGAGAGGACGAUCAGCCACACUGGCACUGCGACACGGGCCAGACUCCUACGGGAGGCAGCAGUAAGGAAUAUUGCGCAAUGGGCGAAAGCCUGACGCAGCGACGCCGCGUGGGGGAUGAAGGUCUUCGGAUUGUAAACCCCGUUUCGGAGGAAGAUGGAACGAGCAAUCGUUCGGACGGUACCUCCAGAAGCAGCCACGGCUAACUUCGCGCCAGCAGCCGCGGUAAUCUA
rnacentral:rRNA from 1 species